rnacentral:rRNA from 1 species
GAUGAACGCUGGCGGCGUGCCUAACACAUGCAAGUCGAACGGAGAGAUGAUGUGAGCGGAUGAUUAGCUUGCUAGGAUUCCAAUCUUUUCAUUUUCUUAGUGGCGGACGGGUGAGUAACGCGUGGAGAACCUGCCUCUUACUGGGGGACAGCAGCUGGAAACGGCUGAUAAUACCGCAUAAGCGCACGGUAUGGCAUCAUACAGUGUGAAAAGAUUUAUCGGUAAGAGAUGGCUCCGCGUCUGAUUAGCCAGUUGGCGGGGUAACGGCCCACCAAAGCAACGAUCAGUAGCCGGCCUGAGAGGGCGGACGGCCACAUUGGGACUGAGACACGGCCCAGACUCC